UACGUAGGGUGCGAGCGUUGUCCGGAAUUAUUGGGCGUAAAGAGCUCGUAGGCGGUGUGUCACGUCGGCCGUGAAAACCUGGGGCUUAACUCUGGGCGUGCGGUCGAUACGGGCAUCACUAGAGUUCGGCAGGGGAGACUGGAAUUCCUGGUGUAGCGGUGAAAUGCGCAGAUAUCAGGAGGAACACCGGUGGCGAAGGCGGGUCUUUGGUCUGUAACUGACGCUGAGGCGCGAAAGCGUGGGGAUCAAACGGG
rnacentral:rRNA from 1 species